CGGGGCGUGGCGCAGUCCGGCUAGCGCGCCUGCUUUGGGAGCAGGAGGCCGCCGGUUCGAAUCCGGCCGCCCCGACCA
rnacentral:tRNA from 1 species